CUAACUUGGCUGUGUUGAUUUUCUCUCAAUAUUUCGACCACUCUGCUUCCUCCUAGGUGGUAUGUGAGAGACAUAAAACUCAUCUCAAGAUGCCUUGGGCCUCAGCAAAUUGGGAGGACAGGCUGAAAACAAUGAUAAGCUUCCAAAAAAAGAGCAGACAGUGCAUCCAGAUGGGGCCUCUCAACAAUCCCUGCUGCCCAACAGCACUGACACCCCGUCUCCAGUCCAUGGGUGUGAAGUCCUGCCCAGGACUAGGCCCAGUGGAGCCUCUUCACAAGUUCCAGGUCACUGGGUCAUGGGGAGACGGGAUCUAAGUGGAGAUGACAGGCCCUGAGGGAAGGACCCAGGUGACUGUGACUGUACAGGUGUCAGGCGGGAUACUUCAGAGUCAGACAAGAUCAGCGAGUCCAAAGAAGGGCAUUUUGGGAAGGACAGACAGAAACAUCAACUGACAAUAUGACUUUACCUGAGAAAGAGCCAUUUCUGACUCCUUUUCUUUUCCCUUCCUCCUCUUCCGGGCUUCUUCCUCAGGCAAGAGUCUUUAGAGGUCGAUCUUGAAACUUGGAAAGAUGCUGUUUAAUGCUUGGAAUCGGCACGCCCCCUUCCUGAGUCACCACCACACACGCAGGGAAGACCUCAGCAUGCGGAACAGACAGUCCCCUGCUGCCCACCGUCCCAGGAGGGGCUCAGGACAGUAAACUCCCACACAGAGACCAACAACCCGAAAGCCAGCCACCACUGCUCCCGACCACUGCUGCACAAUCCCCAGAGCACAGCUGCCUGCACGUCGUGGAGCUGGCGUACUCUAGCAGACCAGAUGGAACGGACAGCUCCUGGCUGAGGCAGGUACGGAACUGUUCUCAGUUAGCAGCAGCAUCAUGGACCGAGGUAGGUGACGUGCUGGGUAUGUGGUGGUAACCCUUGAAAGGAUUGCUGAAGCAAAAGCCCUGCCCCCAGGGAGCUCAGCUCAGAAGGCAGAAAUCAUUACUCAGACAAGAGCCCUACUACUCCCUGAAGGCAAGCGAGUAAAUAUAUACACAGACUCUCGCUAUGCGUUCUCCGUGGUGCAUGCUCACGGCGCAAUCUGGAAAGAAAGGGGGGGGCUCCUCACUUCAAACAAUAAAGACAUAAAACAUGCUUCUGAAAUCUUGUCACUAUUAGAAGCAGUCCACAAGCCCUCACAAGUGGCCGUAAUGCACUGCCCAGGCCACCAGACGGGUGAGACUCAUAUAACAAAAGGCAACUGGUUAGCUGACCAGGCUGCAAAGAAAGUAGCAAAGGUAGGCGAUUACCAAGCCAUCUCAGGGUCACUUCUCCCGCAGAAUGACUUGUCAAAAUACCAGCCGGAAUAUUCAGGCAAGGACAAGGAGAGGGCCAAAGAGUGGGGAUUCACUCUUGAUCGCACCUCGCCUGGCUAGAAAUGUAGUGCACAUGGAACUGACUUGAUUUCUGAGGCACUCGUGGACACCGUGCUGCAGCACAUUAGUAACAGUACCCACCACGGGAGAGAUGCCACCUUACGAUGGAUUCAGAAAUAUAUAAUGGGGCCUAACCUACAAAGGGCCAUCCAGGGAGUCACUCAAAAUUCCAUGAUUUGUGCUGAAAAUAACCCAAAUACUGCUGUCAGAUCUCUCCAGAUGGGGAGCCAACACAGAGGACUCCACGAGCCACCAAGGACUGGCAGAUAGACUUUACUCAAGUUGAUAGGGACAGAGUAAAGGGACAAAGUAGGCGAUUGAAUAGUUAAUCCCA